rnacentral:rRNA from 1 species
GCGGCGUGCUUAACACAUGCAAGUCGAACGAAGCACUUUACCGGAUUUCUUCGGGAUGAAAGUUUUGUGACUGAGUGGCGGACGGGUGAGUAACGCGUGGGUAACCUGCCUCAUACGGGGGGAUAACAGUUAGAAAUGACUGCUAAUACCGCAUAAGACCACAGGAUUGCAUGAUCCGGUGGUAAAAACUCCGGUGGUAUGAGAUGGACCCGCGUCUGAUUAGGUAGUUGGUGGGGUAACGGCUCACCAAGCCGACGAUCAGUAGCCGACCUGAGAGGGUGACCGGCCACAUUGGGACUGAGGCACGGCCCAAACUCCUACGGGAGGCAGCAGUGGGGAAUAUUGCACAAUGGGGGAAACCCUGAUGCAGCGACGCCGCGUGAGCGAUGAAGUAUUUCGGUAUGUAAAGCUCUAUCAGCAGGGAAGAAAAUGACGGUACCUGACUAAGAAGCACCGGCUAAAUACGUGCCAGCAGCCGCGGUAAUACGUAUGGUGCAAGCGUUAUCCGGAUUUACUGGGUGUAAAGGGAGCGUAGACGGAGAGGCAAGUCUGAUGUGAAAACCCGGGGCUCAACCCCGGGACUGCAUUGGAAACUGCUUUUCUAGAGUGUCGGAGAGGUAAGUGGAAUUCCUAGUGUAGCGGUGAAAUGCGUAGAUAUUAGGAGGAACACCAGUGGCGAAGGCGGCUUACUGGACGAUGACUGACGUUGAGGCUCGAAAGCGUGGGGAGCAAACAGAAGUAGAUACCCUGGUAGUCCACGCCGUAAACGAUGACUGCUAGGUGUCGGGAGGCAAAGCCUUUCGGUGCCGCAGCAAACGCAAUAAGCAGUCCACCUGGGGAGUACGUUCGCAAGAAUGAAACUCAAAGGAAUUGACGGGGACCCGCACAAGCGGUGGAGCAUGUGGUUUAAUUCGAAGCAACGCGAAGAACCUUACCUGCCCUUGACAUCCGGCUGACCGGCGAGUAAUGUCGCCUUUCCUUCGGGACAGCCGAGACAGGUGGUGCAUGGUUGUCGUCAGCUCGUGUCGUGAGAUGUUGGGUUAAGUCCCGCAACGAGCGCAACCCUUAUCUUUAGUAGCCAGCAUUUCGGAUGGGCACUCUAGAGAGACUGCCAGGGAUAACCUGGAGGAAGGUGGGGAUGACGUCAAAUCAUCAUGCCCCUUAUGGGCAGGGCUACACACGUGCUACAAUGGCGUAAACAAAGGGAGGCAAGCCUGCGAGGGUGAGCAAAUCCCAAAAAUAACGUCUCAGUUCGGAUUGUAGUCUGCAACUCGACUAUAUGAAGCUGGAAUCGCUAGUAAUCGCGAAUCAGAAUGUCGCGGUGAAUACGUUCCCGGGUCUUGUACACGCCGCCCGUC